rnacentral:rRNA from 1 species
UACAGAGGGGGCAAGCGUUAUUCGGAAUCACUGGGCGUAAAGCGCACGUAGGCGGAUUCCUAAGUCGGGGGUGAAAUCCUGGAGCUCAACUCCAGAACUGCCUUCGAUACUGGGAAUCUUGAGUCCGGAAGAGGUGAGUGGAACUCCGAGUGUAGAGGUGAAAUUCGUAGAUAUUCGGAAGAACACCAGUGGCGAAGGCGGCUCACUGGUCCGGUACUGACGCUGAGGUGCGAAAGCGUGGGGAGCAAACAGG